CACGCUGUAAACGAUGAGUGCUAGGUGUAGGGGGUAUCGAAACCCUCUGUGCCGCAGUAAACGCAAUAAGCACUCCGCCUGGGGAGUACGGUCGCAAGACUAAAACUCAAAGGAAUUGACGGGGGCCCGCACAAGCAGCGGAGCAUGUGGUUUAAUUCGAAGCAACGCGAAGAACCUUACCAGGUCUUGACAUCGUCUGCAUAGUCUGGAGACAGAUGAAACCCUUCGGGGCAGAAUGACAGGUGG
rnacentral:rRNA from 1 species